AAUCCUGGACAAUGGGCGCAAGCCUGAUCCAGCUAUGCCGCGUGAGUGAAGAAGGCCCUCGGGUUGUAAAGCACUCUCUGACGGUAAGAAACCGCGCAAGCUAUUACUCUGGCCGGUCGCCGGUACGGGUCUAAGAAUCCCCGGGCAACUAUCUGGCAGAAGCCGCGUUAAUACGUAGGGUGCGAGCGUUAAUCGGAAUUUCUGGGCGUAAAGCGUGCGCAAGAGGUUGAUUAAGACAGGCGUGAGAGCCCCGGGCUUAACCUGGGAACUGCGCUUGUGACUGGUCAGCUAGAGUACGGCAGAGGGGGGUGGAAUACAACGUGUAGCAGUGAAAUGCGUAGAGAUGCGGAGGAACACCGAUGGCGAAGGCAGCCCCCUGGGCCGAUACUGACGCUCAUGCACGAAAGCGUGGGUAGCAAACAGG
rnacentral:rRNA from 1 species